rnacentral:rRNA from 1 species
GAGUGGCGGACGGGUGAGUAAUGUCUGGGAGAUCUGCCCGAUAGAGGGGGAUAACCACUGGAAACGGUGGCUAAUACCGCAUAACGUCGCAAGACCAAAGAGGGGGACCUUCGGGCCUCUCACUAUCGGAUGAACCCAGAUGGGAUUAGCUAGUAGGCGGGGUAACGGCCCACCUAGGCGACGAUCCCUAGCUGGUCUGAGAGGAUGACCAGCCACACUGGAACUGAGACACGGUCCAGACUCCUACGGGAGGCAGCAGUGGGGAAUAUUGCACAAUGGGCGCAAGCCUGAUGCAGCCAUGCCGCGUGUAUGAAGAAGGCCUUCGGGUUGUAAAGUACUUUCAGCGGGGAGGAAGGCGAUGUGGUUAAUAACCGCGUCGAUUGACGUUACCCGCAGAAGAAGCACCGGCUAACUCCGUGCCAGCAGCCGCGGUAAUACGGAGGGUGCAAGCGUUAAUCGGAAUUACUGGGCGUAAAGCGCACGCAGGCGGUCUGUUAAGUCAGAUGUGAAAUCCCCGGGCUUAACCUGGGAACUGCAUUUGAAACUGGCAGGCUUGAGUCUCGUAGAGGGGGGUAGAAUUCCAGGUGUAGCGGUGAAAUGCGUAGAGAUCUGGAGGAAU